UUUUGUAUAAAAAAUUUACCAGUUUUACAUUUUUAUAAAAUCGGUCUAUAUUUUUUAUUUUGCAGAGUGAUAUCGGAUUUUUGAGAAACUGAUCAAAAUACUCAUAUUCUUGCUCCCUUUCUCUCUCCCCUUCCCUGCUUAAUUUCUCCUCCUAUUUCUUGGCAAAAAAAUUCAAAAAAUGUGCAAGCAACUUGUUUGUCCUUUCUAAGAUUUAAAAAGAAAAAUAAAUUGUCAUUCAUUACUUGCUCGGAUAGCAUUGUUUUUUGGUCAAUUAUGACAAUAAGAAAGAAAACUUUCUGCUAAUGUAUCAACUUAUAUAAAAUUAGUGUUUCAAAAAAAAUAAAAAAAAAUAGGUA
rnacentral:lncRNA from 1 species